UUGAGAUUGUAUGUCCGUUAUUGUGACUGAGGACAAAUUGAUUAUCCUUAAGUCAUUAGUUAUUGGCGUCGUGGUCUUCUCUGACCCCUGCCUCUCUGUGUUUGUCUUGUUCUGGGACGCUGAAGUUCGUCCGCCUGUCGUAAGCCUAAAAAAUCUACACCCUUCCUCAAUAUACUUUUAGGUUCAAUUUGUGUAGAUGUAGUAGCUAUAUUUUCUCCCUCAUUGUCAGUCGACUCAUAUUCAGAAGUACUGAAAUGAUCAGAGUCGAUCCUGACCUUUCUUUUGGUCUGUCGAUAGACUCUUCCAGUCUCAAAAUCCGUAGUGUCCCUAACGAAUUUAUGGUGUUUUUUAAUUUUGAUUUGGUAAGAAAAUCUAUCCAAAUUAGUCUUCAAUCUCACUUCUAAAUUUGGGAACUGAGGGUCGUCCUUAAACUUUUGGAUGUUCUCAAUCUCAGUAUCCAAGGUUUUUUGAAUAUGUGUUAAAUGUACAGACUCAUAUUUACAUAUGAUAGACAUAAAGGUAGUUGAGCAUCUAGCUGCUGCAUCUUCCCAUUCUUGUGUGAAUCCCUCUAUUUCAAUAUUUCUAGAGGGUGGGACUAAAACCCUAAGUCCCCUAGGGAUGAUCUUUUUAGCAAUAUAUGUCUCAAGGGUUGAGAUUUCCCAACUAGUCCUUAUUUGUUGUUUAAAGGUCUUGGUCAAUUUAUUAAAACCACUUUGUAUGUCUACGGGGGGAAGAGCUUGUAAUGAGGAGCUAGUAGAGAAA